rnacentral:ncRNA from 2 species
UCACUGGUGGUUCGUAAACAUCCCACCAUAAUAAAAAACUAGGAAGAA